GACGAACGCUGGCGGCGUGCCUAAUACAUGCAAGUCGAACGAAGCUGUUUUAACUGGUGCUUGCACCGACUUAAACAACUGAGUGGCGAACGGGUGAGUAACACGUGGGUAACCUGCCCCAAAGCGGGGGAUAACAUUUGGAAACAGAUGCUAAUACCGAAUAACCACAGAAACCACAUGGUUUCUGUGUACAAGAUGGCUUCGGCUAUCCCUUUGGGACGGACCCGCGGGGUAUUAGCUAGUUGGUAAGGUAAUGGCGGACCAAGGCAAUGAUACGUAGCCGAACUGAGAGGUUGAUCGGCCACAUUGGGACUGAGACACGGCCCAAACUCCUACGGGAGGCAGCAGUAGGGAAUCUUCCACAAUGGACGAAAGUCUGAUGGAGCAACGCCGCGUGAGUGAAGAAGGUUUUCGGAUCGUAAAACUCUGUUGUCAGAGAAGAACGUGUGCGAGAGUAACUGUUCGUGCAGUGACGGUAUCUGGCCAGAAAGCCACGGCUAACUACGUGCCAGCCGCCGCGGUAA
rnacentral:rRNA from 1 species